rnacentral:rRNA from 1 species
GACGAACCGUGCGAACGUUGUUCGGAAUCACUGGGCUUAAAGGGCGCGUAGGCGGCUUGCCAAGUCAGGGGUGAAAUCCAGCAGCUUAACUGUUGAAGUGCCUUUGAUACUGGCGAGCUCGAGGGAGGUAGGGGUAUGCGGAACUUCUGGUGGAGCGGUGAAAUGCGUUGAUAUCAGAAGGAACACCGGUGGCGAAGGCGGCUUCCUGGACCGACACUGACGCUGAGGCGCGAAAGCUAGGGGAGCAAACGGG